AGCCGGCAAGGGGUGAAUCCUUCUGUCCUGCUGCCCUCUGCUUGUUACACCCUCCCCUAUAGGCUCAGCCAAGCCUCUGAGGGUCCCUGCUGCUGUGCCAGACCCCACUGUGUCUUCCUAUGGGAUGAUGCUCAUCUGGGGCCAGAAGAGGAGGCAGUGAACCCCAGGGAUGCACGAUGUGAUUCCCUGGUUGAAUGGAGCUGUCUGUGCCUGUCCUGGUGCAGGACAUCAGGAGCUCAGAGCAUCUCAGCAGCAACAGCACAAUCCAGGAGCACCAAAUCAGCUUCUCCUCCAAGAAGGGAACCAAAAGCUUCACCUUCCCCCCGGAGAUGCCCAUUAACCAAUAGGCUGGAGCAAACCACACUGAGAGGCCUGCGAGCCAAUGGAGAGGGAAAGGGAUAACAUGGAGCUGCAGGCUCAGCCCAGCCAUAGGCGGCAUUGCCAGAGCAUCCGGUUGCUCCUUUUCCUCCUGGAUCCAUGUGGAAUUCUCAGUUUCAUGGCUGGACACUCAUUUAGCACAAGCCGAACGCCUGCAGGCAGCUCUCGCUCCAUCCUGCAUGGAUUCAAGCAUCAGGCAUCCAGCUGAGCUGCUCAGCCCCUUGGAAGGGCUGCAUGGAUGAAAGGCAGCAGUGAACGAACCCCAAGGAGCUGCAAGUGUUUCUGCAGCCAUAGAGGAAGAAAUAAUUACCAGCUCUGGGGCAGCAAGGGGAGAACUGGGAAUGCUGCGGA